rnacentral:rRNA from 1 species
UACGUAGGGCGCGAGCGUUGUCCGGAAUUACUGGGCGUAAAGCGUGCGCAGGCGGUUUUGUAAGCCAGAUGUGAAAUCCCCGGGCUUAACCUGGGAAUGGCAUUUGGGACUGCAAGGCUUGAGUGCGGCAGAGGAGACUGGAAUUCCUGGUGUAGCAGUGAAAUGCGUAGAUAUCAGGAGGAACACCGAUGGCGAAGGCAGGUCUCUGGGCUGACACUGACGCUCAUGCACGAAAGCGUGGGGAGCAAACAGG